UUUUAUAAACAGCUCAAUAUAAAACAUAGACAGUGUUUGAUUAUUUUCCUUGUGUAAGUUUGAUUUAAAACGUUGGAAAUGUGUGCUUUUUAGUGUUUACUAAAGUGAUAAGAAAAUAAAGCAUUCAAUACACUAUAGAUUCCAAAACAUAACAUUGCACCAAAUAGAAAUGUAUAUUUUAUUAUGCAAUGCCUUAGUCAUAAACUGGGCUCAAACAAUCCUCAGCCUAAAACACUGUUGUCUUUUAAUAUGCUUCCAACCCAAAGGCCUUUCAUCUCAGUAUCUGUCAAACUUGAAUAACGUCUUCUCUUUACUAUUACACACGAGGCAGCCUAUUAACCUGUGUCUUAGAAUUGUUGUAUAUAGUUCUUUUAAUAUCCAUAGGGUAUAUUUUUGAAUUUUUUGGUGAGUAUUUGUUGAAUUUGAGAUAGCAUACAGUAGAUGUUUAAGAAAUAGUAGGAAGUCCGGUGAGACGGCUGUUUCCAUCAAGAACUCCUAGCACUGCUGUAAAUAUCAUGGUGCCUACUGGAAGGGAAUGUAGAUGCUAUGCAUUUUGGAAAUAAUCUGCAUCUGUUAAACCUGCAGAAGUUUUUUAAUGCCACUUUAACACUAAUGCACUGACAGAUUCUAAAUAUUUUGUGAGAAAUGUUGAAAUGUUUAACCUGAUAGGCUUCUCUAUAAAAGAGUGUUUUGUUUUUUUCCCUGCACCACAAGCUGUGUUUAUCACUUUACAGUUGCAUGUUCAACUUGUCAUAGCUGGAAUUACUGUAUAAAAAGAACUGAUUGUGACUUGUAGUUCUUCUCUAGAGGAUGCUGCUAGAACGUGGUUUUGCUUUGCAUUUUGUAGUUCUUCCCGUCAGUGCUGUGUGUAGUCCUGCUUCUUCCAGUCUGCAGUAUUCACUAGAGGCGCCCUUUGCAUGUUGCACUCUGUUCUCAUUUGGAGGUUGGACUCAGACCAGUUAGCACAGUAUUCUCUCAUCUGUGUCACUUUGUAAAACUAACUGUACUCUGUAUUUCUUAUUUGUACAUAUCAAUGUGAGAAAUCUCCCUUUUUUAUGUUGCAAUUACCUUGUGAUCAGGCAGCUUGAGUGCUAUGCAAAUAGUAAGUAGUGUAGUGGUGAUUUUUCUUUGCAUGUUGUGUGUGAUAUACCUAGCCAGAAAUAGAUGUGGCUUUUGUUUUGGGGGCAGAUUACUUUCAAAAGCAAAUACAAUUCACUUGAAUUUGACAAACUGAAGCAGACAAGUGUUCUGGGUCCUCUGAUAAUUUGGGGUGUUUGGCUGUCAGCUAGGCUCAUGAAGUCCACUGUACUGUAAUGAUGGUAUUUACCUCUGUGCUAUUUUAAUUACCCUCGCGUCUGUGGAACUGCUGAUUUGAGUAGUGAUUAGCAUUUAGAAAUUUUGUAAUGUAGAGUUUUAGAGAGAGCACUUUGAAAGAUAAACAUUUUAUUAUGAUGGUGCUAGGUACAAAAUUUAUAGCAUGGGAUGUGAAGAAAAAAAAUGAGAACCCAUUGAAAGGAAGAAAGGAAUUUGUUGUCUGCUUCUAAGCUAGAGUGGUUGUAAAGGUUCUGCUCUGCCAGUGUUCAGUAUCAGUGGCUGAAUUAUGGAUAAGAACUGUAGAGAAUCUUCUGUUUAGUCCGUGCUUUUUAUGUAGAAUUGGUUUUAUCUAAUAGUUUUACUAUGGAAAUCGCCUUUUGAUAUUAAAGCCAGAUUUUAGAGGUUUGAUAUGUUUGGUCUCAGGAGCUCAAAAGAAGUAGCUUUUUCCAGUGUCUUUUGUGUUACUGAUUUGGGAAAUGUUGAAAGAUUGGACAGGGAAGAAUAGCGCUUGGUGUCCUCAUGGUCAUUCUGUCUUACCUUAGUGGCUUGACAGUACUUACUAUAGCUCCUGAGGGAAGCCAAUCAACUUCUGUUUUCCUACCUGACCUGCAGGGCAUGAUGGAUCAGUGAUGAAAGAAUUGUAGCCUGUGGCACUUUGUUUUGACCUCUGGUAUAGAACUCUGACUUUUAUAGUUUUAAAAUGAUCAAUCUUUGUAUGAAAGUCAGUUUUCUUUCUUUAGGUAUCAGAAGAUUUUGCCUUAUUCUGAGGUCGGACUAGGGCCAAGCAAGCUUUUUCCUUCAUAUGAGCUGUCAUACUGUAUUUUGACCUCUUUCUGCACGAAAAAAGAAAGAAAAAUGACAGCUGGAAAAAGUCCUUUGUAUUGGCACAUGAUAAAUCUUGAUGACGGGCUAUAUUCUGAACAAACGCUUGCACUGACCAAAGCUUGUGUUUAGCGUGUGUUUAGCAUAGGUGCUGUAGUUGGAGUGGGCCCCACCUCUGCUCCUUUCAGUGUUCUUGCUGUUCAAGUUAUUCCUCUCAGACAUCCUCCAUUGUCCCACGCACUCCUUGGCAGCAGAAUGCUGGCAGCUUGUGACCCUCAUGUUUCCUGUAAGUCUGUUUCAUGGUAGGGUUCAUACCUGCCUCAGCCUGACAGGAGUAGGUUUUCCGCAACCCACUGUGCUGAGACAGUUGAUGUGAUGCAAACUAUUCUUGGAGUGUGUUGUUUUCUUUGGCCCAAGGGUAAACUAAAAUACCUGUGAACUGCAAACUUGCUUGUGAUUGACUUGGUGCAAUACAGUUCCUUUCUAAACGUUUCUGGUUUAGAGAAUACUCAGCCAUCCUGGAAACUAGCAAUAUUUAUUUUGCCUCAUUUACUUUAUUUUCAGUUUUAGAUGAGGUGAAGGUUUUCUUUCAGUUAGGGUACUUGGCAAGGUCCAUUCUAGUGUAGCUGAAGAGGAAGCUAUACUAUUUUCUGUUUACUGUAUUUUGCUCCCUAUUUUAUGCUUUUUAAAAAUCUUUCACAGUGACUCACUUGAUUGAGCAUAUUGAUUUGAAAGAGCUAAGAUUUUCCUGCUUAAUGUCAGCCAUUGGCUCUCCUGAUAAUUGGGACUUUUUGUUUGUUUGUUUUUUGUUGUUUUGUUUUUUUUGUUUCCCCUUUCCCUAAAAUUAUAAGUUUAGAGAAUCCUGUAAGAGGGGUGGGUGCAUGUCUUAAUGCUGAGAAGCAGCAGCUUUGGGGUUGAAUUUACUUGAAUGGUUUAAAAAGAUUGCAUUGUUACAAAGCUAGAAAAAAUUUAUGUAUGAAAAAUGAUCCUAGCCUUACACUGAGUACAAUAAUACUUAUAAGCAUGUGAAGAUGUGAUCUUUGUGAUGUUACUUGUACAAACAUAUAUACAUAUCUAUACAUAUCUUUUGAAGUGUUGAAAGGAAUAGUACUUUAUAUUCUUUAUCAUACCACUUUUGUAAGUGUUGAAUAUAUUGCUGUUUAUUUUUCUAUGUUCUGUUUCGUAGCCUUAAGAAGUGUUUCAAACGAUCUGAAUGUAUAAAACAAGUCAAUGCCCUACAUGGUGUGAUGCUGCAUUAUAUAUACAACCGUGUGCAUAUAUUAAAUUCUGUUUGUCG
rnacentral:lncRNA from 1 species